rnacentral:rRNA from 1 species
ACUCAAAGGAAUAGACGGGGGCCCGCACAAGCGGUGGAUCAUGUGGUUUAAUUCGAAGCAACGCGAAGAACCUUACCUGGGUUUGACAUCCUCUGACAUCCGUAGAAAUACGGCUUCUGUAGCAAUACAGCAGAGAGACAGGUGCUGCAUGGCUGUCGUCAGCUCGUGGGGUGACCUGUUGGGUUAAGUCCCGCAACGAGCGCAACCCCUGUCCUUAGUUGCCAGCAUUAAGUUGGGCUCUCUAAGGAGACUGCCGUGGUUAACACGGAGGAAGGUGGGGAUGACGUCAAGUCCUCAUGGCCUUUAUAUCCAGGGCGACACACGUGAUACAAUGGAUGGUACAAAGGGAUGCUAAGGGGUAACCUGGAGCAAAUCCCAAAAAGCCGUUCUCAGUUCGGAUUGAAGUCUGCAACUCGACUUCAUGAAGGUGGAAUCGCUAGUAAUCGCGGAUCAGCACGCCGCGGUGAAUAUGUUCCCGGGCCUUGUACACACCGCCCGU